UACAAAUAUAGUUCUGAAAAUAGCAUAAUUUUAUUAGAAUGUUAUCAGUUUCAGAAAAAUAUGCAAAAUGGUAAUCAUAUCAAUUAAUAUGAUUGCAUGUAAACGUAUAUAUGUACAUAAUUAUAUCCAAAAGACUAACAUAUGUACGUCUGUAAUAAGAAUGUAUAUUUCUGAGCAUAACUUUCAAUGAAUGCUCAGCUCUGUUCACGCGCCACUGUUAAAGUUUCUCCUUCUUAUCUAGCUGUGGUGAAACACGCUCAUCGCAUUUUGUUAGCUUUUGACAGUUCACACGCUUGUCCGUUGUUGGACCUUCUCUGUAAAUAUACGUUCUCUGCUUAUACAGAGGUAGUGAGUUUUCCAAAUUCCCUUUUGCUGGGCAAAGUCCAAUAAGAAAAAAUGGUGUUAGGUUGACUUACAUUUACUGAGAAACUUUAAGCAGGUUCAACGGUCUAUCCACUCAAUCAUCUCACCGCACUUCAACUUCCAGUCGAUCUCCGUGAAAAGCACUUUCGUAUAUAAACAAGUUUUUUAUUUUAAUUAUUGUAAAUAUUUAAAAUUAUUGAAUUUAUUUCUUUCACACUUUAUUUUUCUCCACUGCGCUCCAGGGUUGCCAAAUUAGGAACAAAAAUAUUUAGAAUUCAAAAUACUUUUGCGUGUUGAUAUAGCACCUAUCCACCCAGUGCUGGUACAUUCGAAUACAGUCGACUCUCGUUAAUUCGAAACUCGACGGACUUUUAAAAUAUCAUGGAAGGCAUACACGCAUCAAUUAUUGUACCAUUUUCAUCGAAUUGUAUAACUGAUUGUUACGUAUAUGGGGCAGUUGUAUGAGUUGUACCAACUGAUUGGAUGAAAAUCAAAAUUUUUUGAUAUUUUGUCAAGUUGGUUGUGUUAAUUGGAUCGUGUUUGGGUUGGUCGUGCGAUUUCAAACGAUUUCGCCAUUUUAUUUCGGCUGUCAAAGAGAGCGCGUCAUAUAACUAUAAUAAGUAAAGCAAUAACUUCCGAACUCAUGUUUAACCAGCGAAGUGAAUAUUCAAAAUGAAGUUGGCCUCAAAAUUGUGUUAAAAGUUGGGUCGUAUGUAGCGACAAGGGCAAUUUCUAGCCCAACCCAAUCAACCAACUAAUUGUUGCGUGUAUGCCUUCUAUUACGUAUUAUCGAGUGUAUCAAAUGGUUCGAAAUUUCUCAGAGGAAAUAAAUAAAACUUCGAAAUAUUAAGUGUUGGUCAAUUAUUAUAUUAUAUAUUAACUGUUAUUCUAUAACAAUGUCAAAAGUUUAGAGGAAGAUUCGUGUACAUAUGUACAUACAUAUGUAUUCAUAAUGUGAAUUAAUUAAUCUUUCGAAAGAGCUCUGUUACCUUGAAGCACAUUACUGUUGCUCAGACUGCUGAAAAACUUUUUUAAGAGAAAAAUGGCUUGAAAUGCUUUUUCAUUACUUUCGUUUAGGAGACAGAAGCUUUGUAAGGUAUCGAAUGAGGAUCUUGCUUCUUUAACUGAUACCUCUGCCAAAGGUUCUGAUGUAUCGUCCUCAUUUUCAUCGUUCCUUUUUUCAUUCGUAUCUGUCGCAAAAUCUACUUACAAUCUUUCCGCCUGUUUUUCUCUACUGUGAAUUGGCGAGUGUUGGACGCCUAUGAGUUCGGUUUAACGCGUCGUUUGUUAUACCGUAAUGAUUUUUUCGUUCGAAUUACCAAGUGCAUAAAAAUACAAUAUAAAUAUUUUCUGUAGGGAACUCAUGAUAAUUUUGAAUUAUAGAGAGGUUUCCUUUGCCAUCCAACAGUUGCGGCAAUCAACUUUAAAUGCUCGUUGGACAAGCUUUCCAACGAUGUCGAUAUCGACAAGGACCAAAUUGGAGGCCAGGUUUUAACGGCUAAUUUAAUUCGUGUGGGCUUGAAAUUCGCUACAAGCGUGUAUUACAAUUCCAACGUAAACUCGAAUCUUGUGUUGCUGGGUAUCAAGAGUUAACUAAACAACUGCAGACACCAAAAAAAAAACUUUUAACAGACUUUAUAACAAAAAAAAACUUUAAAAGCCGAUUAAUAAUGAAGAUAAUUCUGCAUUAAAAAAAAAAACCAACAGUUUGUUAGACAUAGUAUGUAUCUUCUAACGACAGUGUUAUUUUUGAGCCAAUCCAUAAUACUUUUGUACUUAUAGAUUUAAUUUAAACUGUAAAUUAAAUAUAUUUACUUGUAAUAAAUAUAAAUUGUUUUGUUUUAUUAUUACUCAAGGCAGUUUUGGAUCACUUUUUUUGCGCGGUUUUUUAAGAAAAUAUUUCAAUAUUUUUCAUUUUAUACGAUUUUUUAAGGUUUUGGAAAAGAUCUCAAAAUUUACAUAUGAAUCGUGUAUUUUUUUACAAGAUCGAUUACACGGCUUUCUUAGGAACGUACCUAUCAUGUAAAAAUAGAUUUUACUGCACGUAUAAAUAUUAUCGAACUUCCACGUGACUUUAUGCUGGUAAUAUCGACCAGUAUUUAAUUUAUCUCAAUGAAAAUUACAGAACGUGUUUUACUCAUAACUGUGUAUCUUUGUGCCUAAAAUAGAUACAAUUGGGCGAAAACUUGACCUACCCCCCAUAUAACUAUGACCAGGAUUAUCGAACAUCAGGUGACUUUGCUCCAUACGAUUGGUGAUUGUACUUGUACGUGAGGUACUUUAACGAAAAGCAGGAAACAUUUCUUUUAGUAUGUGACAUGAUAAUAUUUAAUAGAUAGAAUCGGGUCGAUACUACCCCAACUCCCAUGUGCAAUGUAAUGAUUUUCGUUUUUCUAACAAACCUUAUGCCGAAUAUGUCGGUCAGUGUAUAAGUUAUACUUGUAUAUAUUAUAUGUAUGUAUAUACAUAUAAAGGUGACGUUUUACAUCUUAAGGUAUUUCCCUGGCUUCGAUUUUUGCAAGUUGCAAGAGUAUAAAAAUACAUAUAUACAGCUUUGUCAGCACCUGAAGCAAUUUCCCCGACUUUGAUUAACAAAAUUUGCGGUGUUUUUAAAUAUAUUUAUUUUUGACACGUGUGAUUUCUGUUUUUGCGUAAAACUAGUGGCAAUUUCAAGGGAAUAAGUAUUAAAAGAAAUAAGGUUAGCAACGCGAAAACUAAGCUAGAUAAAGCAGAACAGUUUAAUUACCUCAUUUUAGCUUUGAGCUGUCGGAAGUCACCACGUUUCGUGCCUUACCUACCGAUAUCUAAAACUAGCCAGAAAGAUAUUAUGUUGCAAUGUUUAAAAAUAAAAUUACGGUUUUUGACUCUGUCUUCUUAUAAUAUAAUUCCUAACAUUCAGGCAAUAAUUUCCAGUCUCAAUCCAACUUACGCAGACAAACGACCGAUUCAAGUCUUACAAAACGAAUUAAGUACCUUAACCCUUUCAAUAUUGACAGGACGCAUGUUUCCCACAGAGUGUUUUCAUUUAACUAAAACUCAAUUAUUACUAUACGGAUAUAUUGACAUUUACAGUGUGAUAAUUUUUGCGUUCCUUCAUUCCUUUAUUCUUAGCAUAUGCGCGCAAAAGGCGAGUUAGUUUAUAAUUAACUGUGGCACGUGCUACUUAAGCAGCUGAAAAACUUGGUUCUGUUCUGAUAUAAUUUGUUGUUCCUGUGAAAUUACAUUGUAAAAUGACAAGGUAUGUUAAUACCAAAUAAAUAAAUAAAUAUUCUUCUACCUUCUUAUAAACAACGGCAUACAUAUAUAUGAGAUACAGAAAGGUAAGACUGGAUUAUAUGUGUCCCAACAGUGACAUUUAUUGGGUAUCAAUAUUAUUCGAGAACAAAUCAUCAGCGAAUAAUUGAUAUUCGAAAUUUAUUGGAACAUAGUGACUCUGAAAGUGAGUGCGACUUAAGCGGUGUUUUGUUUCGGGCGCCGACCGCUUCACCCAUGUCUUCUUUGCAGAUGGAGUGGCUGACGAGACGAAUCGAGUCCGGUUCGGUUUGGGAAAUGCCUUACUGGCGUCGGUGGUAAUGAAUAACGGUGUAAUAGAGCACUUACGGAGAUUUCUGAUUGUCCACCAUGGUUGCCUGAUGUCUCCACGUCGCAAUCGUAAAAUCGUGGAGGUGAGGAUAGCAAUAGUUGGACUGACCGGCCUAAUCAAGGCACGCACAACCUAGUUGCAGUACGUGCCUUUUUGAGGCGGUCCGUAACAGCGCCAUUCUGCAAAGGUAGUGUUGCGUGCCUAUCCUUGAUGAUUCGACAUGUAUGACGUCAAUAUCGAGCGUCUCGUACAAACCUUCCCUUCGGAUGGGUAGCCGGCGUGACGAAUUGAGUUCCGCUGGGUCCGGGCAAUGUCGCUGAGACGAAUUCGAAUAGAAGUUACCAGCAUGCCGAAGUCGGCAAGACGAAUCGAUUGUAGCUCGCUCUUAGGCGAGUGGUAUGCGAGAGAGGCAUCGUUGGUCAGCCCUUUUCCUUGGUUGCGCGACUGAUAACAUUAGUUAACACGGUUGAGAGGGAAUCGAAUCCGUCGUGGCGAUGGUGAAUGCAUUCUCUUCCAUUUCCGCUGCCUCUUGCUAGACUUGUAUGGUGUGGACUGCCGCAACCCUUACAGCGUAUUAAGUUGUCGCAUUCAUGUUCGAGGCGAGUCAGUUGCUGCAAUAGCGGUGGAUUAAUAUUGUCCUCAGGCUAAUUUCUGCGGACAUCUGACGAAACUUUGGGCACCAACGAAGAAUGUGACUAUGUAUGGUGGGAAAUUGAUAGUCGUCAUUUUGAAUAACUUCCCAAAUGAAAGAGAAUAUUAUGAAGGUGUUAAUGUAUAGAAUAAAAUUAACAUUGAUUGGAUAAAAUUACAAUCUUUGUGAUAGGCCUACACGUUGAGUUUGGAUGUCCACAACCCGAACUCGUUGGUUCAACCCUGAAUAUAUUUUGAUGAUCCUAAUCUUCAUUCAUUGGAAGGUAAAUUUUCAUUACAAACUACCACUAGGUCGUUGACUUGGACGUUUUGUUGGGAAUGUUCCCAUUUCCUUCAUUUCUGAAGUUCCUUUAAGUAUUCAGUCUUCCAUUUCUGACAAAAGUGCUGACUUAGGGCCUUUAAUUGUUGUCAUCGGUUUACUAAUGAUAGCGGGCCCUCAGUGAUUUCUGGUUGCUAACAGGGGAGCACCGACCAGGAAAUAGUCUGGUGUUAACGGAAUCGGGUCAUUGAUGUCAUCCGUCAUAGAACUGAUAAACCGAGAGUUUAGACAGGCUUCUAUUCGAGUUAACAGCGUAGAAAGUUCCUCGAAUGUGCCUUUCAUAGAUUCUGACUCAAAAGGCCUUGUGAGAUUUGUUCGUGGCACGGGAAGUGAUGCUAUAAGUUGUGCUUACUCUCGUUUUUUUAUAUAAAACGCAGAUCUUACAAUUAUGCAUCACUGUGCGAAUUAGAUUCUUUGCCUUGAGGAUCCAAAAUUACAUUCGUAGAAGACGCAGGACUAGUUGAUUGCCUCCGUGAAGGGAAGUAAAAUGAAUACAUUUUACCAAUAAUUUCGAGAAUUUACACUUGUUUGGUAGUAUAAUGUUAUCAUCAACAAAGGGAUUUAAUGAUAGAAUCAAAGAUUUAUUAUUGAUGGGAAGAUUUUUAGUUAAAUCUGCGUACUCAGAAGCAAAAUGAGCCUGCUGAGUUAACUGAAUAAUUCUGUGUUUGACAAAUUUAACUUCAUCUGAAGUGAGCGUUGCAGGCGGUGUAGGGGUUCUGUAAUCUGGAUGAAUUCUAUUGUAGAAUCUGAAGACUCGAGAAAUUACGCGGAGUGCUUUUGAAAAUUCUGAAAAACGUUCCAAAACAACUUCGGUCCCAAUAACUGAUGCAUGAUGCACACGAAUGCUCUUGGCAGAGUGGUAUCAACGUCUACUGCAGGAUUUUAUUUUGGCCACUUGGAUGGUUGAACCACUUAGGACCACCAAAGAUCGUUUCGUUGCAAAUCUUGAGGGGAGACUCCUCUGCUAGCCAGGUCGGCGAGAUUAUCUUCGGAGUUGACAUGCCUCCCGUUUUUAAUUAGAGUACGCUCGCAAAAUUUUGAUAUGCGAUUCGCAAAGAAUGUCGACCAAGAACACGGCGGCUUGCGUAGCCAUGCGAGAACGAUGAUGGAGUCAGUCCAUAAAUAUAUUCCCUGAUAUUUAGCUAACAUAAGAGCAUCAGAUAGUUCUAAUCUGGAUAUUGAGAUGGUUUAACAGAAUCUAGAUGCUUAAUGGAAAACUAAAAGUUGUCCGAUCUCGCAUUCCAUCGAAUUACCAUGUUUUGGCUUCGCUCCUGCUGUCGAAUCCCAGAAAAUCUGUGGUCAAAAGAUGAUCGUUAGGUUCUUCAGAAUUUACUUGCUGUUUGAUGUCCACUUUCUUAAUGGGAAACCAGCUGAGGCUAAUAGUUUAAUCAGCUGUCCUUUUGAAUCAAUUGUGGUGGAGGUGUCUUGAGCACCAGAUAAGACGUCAUCUACGUAUGUAUUAGAUCUUAUUUAUUUCGCAGCUGAAGAUAUCGCUUGUUUUGAGUCUUCAACUAGUUGUAUUAGUGUACAGAUUGUGAGAUAUGGAGCACAAUUGAUCCCCAACUUUAAUUGAAACUCAUUGACCUCGCCAUCCAAAGAUUCUCUAAAAAGGAUUCUUUGAUAGGAUGUAUGUUUGGACCUGACCAAAAUUUGACGAUACAUUUUUUCAAUAUCAGCAUUGAACACAAAUCUAUAAAGUCACCAUUUGGUAAUCAUAAGAGUGAGAUCAGCUUGAAGUGCUGGACCGGUGUACAAAACGUCGUUUAAACUUACACCAUUUGAUUUGGGACAUGAAACAUUGAAAACGACUCUAAGUUUAGAGGUUUUACUUUCACAUUUGUUAACGGCGUAACUUUUGUACGGAUUUCCUGCCAUUUUGUGUGGAAUUCGUUGUAUACGACCUAAGUCUAUGUACUUCGUCAAUAUUUUUCUGUAUACUUCCUUAACGAAAAAUUGUUUGUUGAGAGAUGUCUCAGAUCUCGAAUAUUGUUUCAAUGCAAUAUGACAAGAUGAUCCAAAAUUAGUUUCUACAGGAAUGGAUGUGAAACAAUAUAAUGCUCUUCUCUGUUUCUAAUGUUUGUUUCUGAACAUAUAAUUCUUCUACGGUGACAAAUCGUUUUUUGUGUAUUUCUGCUAGCUCCAAGAAUUUGGAAAGCUGAUUAUCUAAAGAUACCUCGUUGAAAUAUGUGACGUAAGUCAUUUUAUUCCACGUUUCUUUAGAAGGAACGGAACCUGUUAAAAUCCAACCAUUUAGUAUGAUUUUCGGGUAGAUAGAUAUCCCCUCCUAUCAACAGGUCAAUCUUUUGACUCGUAUGGAAAUUAUUGUCCGGUAAGGGGAUAUUGGGUAACCUUUUGACAAUUGAAGGGUUAAUUGAUCUCGAUCAAUUGUGAUUGAGCAUACCGAUUGAACUCGUCCCGUCGCUGUAUUAUUCAAUCUUGAAACUUGCACGCUGACCUUUUCUGCUUGUCAGAUUUAAGCGUUUUUGCAGACUGUUGGUUACGAAGGUUCCUUCAGAUUCCGAUCGAUCAGGGCUCUGACAAUGAAGUUGCUCUCGUUGUGACAUAUGAUCACCAUGGCUGUACCUAAGAGCAUGCUUCGACUGGUAGAAUGAUGUCUCUGUUUACAUUUAGAACAAUUAAAGAUACUUUUACAAUUCUUGACUUAGUCCGAUAUACAGUUCAGGCAGACGUGGAGUUCUCUGACAGCAUUUAACCGUGCCUUAGGCUGCUUAUCAAUGAAUCUUUGACAAGUUUUCAAAAUGUGCGAAGGAGAUGAGCACAGUUUACAUUUAAGACUGUUUGUCUUGGCGUAAUGGGAAUUGAUAGGCUUAGAUCCAAUCCUUGAUUGCAAGGUUGGUAUCCGACCUUCACCAUCAACCUUAGGUUGACCAACUCGCCUUUUGGUCCUUUGGCCUCUCUAGCGUUUUAAACCGUUUGGUUAGAAACUUGUCUAACUCAACCCAUUUUGAGAUCUCUGAAACCGAAUCCAGAGAUUGUUCCCCCCGCUGAUAAUUUCGACCUCAGAAUCUGUUGAAAUGUGCGGAAGUUUGAACCUCAUUCCAAAAUGCUCUCAUUAAUUGGAGAACAUCUCCCUGUUGAGGGAAACACAUGCCAUCGCUGCAGGAGUUGCGCAGAAAACAAAAAAGAGCAACGUACGAAAAUGCUUUGUGUUUCAUGUAACAUCCUAUUGUAUAAGUUUUUUUUGCCAAAUAUCAAACGAAUUAACACCUGAACUCACUGUAAAUGUAUAAAAUUCGUGUUUUUCUUCUGUACAAUAUAAUAAACUCUAAAAAAUACAAUAAAAAUUCCAAAUGAUUUUAGUUUGUUUUCUUAUCUUAAUUACCCAAUCUACAUGGGAAAAAAGUUUUUUUUGCUUAAAGCAAAAUCCGUAUUGAAAGAGUUAAGGGGGUAUUCUAGUCUAGAAAUAAAUUUUGGGCAGUUUUUUUGAAUUUUAUUUAAAAAUAAACCAAAAAAUGUUUUUACCAUCCAUUUUUUAUGGUCUUUUUAUUGAUAUCUUAAGAAUACAGAAAAAAAAAUUUUACAAAAAAAUAUUAAAAAUUAAAAUAAUUAGUAGAUCCCUACCUCAGGGAACACGAAAAAAAAAAUUUAUUGAAAAAUGGCGACUGCCUGAAAAUAAAAAUCAUUUGUACGCUUUUUUGAAAUUCCUGAAUUUUUUUUAAAUAUUAAAAACAAAAAUUUUGACACGAUGCUGGUAGGAACGAUAUGGGAUUAUAUAAAGAAGGUUCACACAAAAUUUCAAGUAAAUCGGUUGUAUAGAACUUGAGAUAAUGCCGGUACCGUGUGGAAAAAAGUAGUUUCGAGAAAAACUCGUUUAAAAAAUUCGAUACGGCCGCACCGGGCUAGGUACUGCGUCACUACAGUAACUGUAGCUCUUAAAAUAAUUUCAAGAGAAAAUGUGCUACGCAUUUUCAUUUUUGGUCUCCGUCGCCCAAUAUAUGAGAUUUCUUUGCUCCAGGACCGAAACACUUCCCUACAUUUUACCAGACAAAUCCUCAGAGCCGUCACCAAAAUCUGCCAAUAAAGUAACCGCAAUGAAUAUCAUCCCUCGCCCAAAUAAUGUAAGAAUUCAAAAAUCUCCUAAUACCCAAUCUGUACCUUGUGAUACUGAAAUCCAACAUUUUCAGAUUUCCUCUAACGAUGACAUUUAAACGUUCACGCGAUCAGUCCGAUUAGUUUCAAAAACCUCAUUCUAAGGCACAAACAGUAAACUUUAUGCCAUAUGAUACUAGUACAGUCUUCAAAAAAUAUUUUGUUUUUUUAUAUUAGGGGCAAUAACAUAAGUGCCCCUAAUGAUCAUUUACACAGUGAAAUUAAUUACAUAUUUAAACUAAAGACAGUCCUACCAUCCAGCACAAAGAAAAUAUCGAAUGGUAAGAAGCUCAAAUUAGUACUUAUCAGUACAGGAACUUCCUAAAAUUAUACAAAUGUUCUAUUUUUUGUUGGAGUUAUGGCAAUAAAAAAAUAUUUUCGUUUACAUCUACAAAUGGAGUUAUCUUCAUUGAUAUGAAAGUUUUUAUUAAGGUAUUUAACUGUAAUUCAACGAUUUACUUACUCGAGAAUUUGAACUCAUUUGAUUAACUAUGACUUCCUGACGGAAAUUAUUGCAAAAAUUGGUAUGACUUUAGGAUAUUUAUUGUCAUAAAGGGGAAAGAUGCCGGAGUUUAUCUGCACUCUAACCAAAUUCAUUUAAUCACAAUCGAAACCGAUUUAAGCAGAAUUUUGUGAAAUUAUUAUAGAGCAUUAACGUAUAAUACGAACAUGGAAGCCACGACAGGUAACUUAUACCCGAUAUAUCGAUAAUCUUAGGCAAUUUAGGAAAGUCUCUAUAUUUUAUCAUGUUAAAUCUGAAAUCGGGUUUUCACAAAAUUAAUUUCUGGGAAGAGGGUAGACACACAGUUGCUUUUAACAUUAUUCGUGAAAAACACGAAUUUUGUCGCUUGCCUUUUCAGAAAAAUGCGCCAAAUAUUUUUCUGCGAUCAAUUGCUACGAAAUAAGUAAAAUAUGUCAUGUUCACAUUAAUGAUGAAAUCACCUUUUCACCUGAUGCAAAAUUGCAUUUAAAAAAUAAUACCAAUGACAUUUUUUUUAAAUUAGAAGCGGCAGACAUGCAAUUUCGUUAGAAAAAUAUAAAUUUAUUUAGACCUAGAAAAAAUGUUUAGGAUUUUACAUAAAUUACAUAAAAACGUUUCCAAGAAGAGUAUUAUCAAUUAUAAAGCUCCCUUCACUUUGCGUGAUUCGCGUUUUUUCUUGGCAUUGAAUUUGUGCGGGGCUUUACCGCUAUAGCCAUUAACAAAAUACUUACAAGGAAAAAAUGGACACUACAAGCAAUUUAAAGUGCAUCCCGAUAACACUUGAUUCGGAGGCAAAAAUUGCAUUCGAAAAACUUAAAAUCAUUUAGCAUUUGAAGAUGUUCAUCUACACUACCAACUAGUUGUUUAUUUAUUUAAUAUUUGUAAAAUAAUAAUACAAUUAUAUAAUAGUAAUUUUGGAAUAAUUUUUUGCGAAGUAUGUACAUAUAACUUUCUCGAUGGAUGGGAGUCCGGCUUCCGUUAAUGUGAACUUUAUUGGUGAUAUCUUUGCAUGACAUGGUGCAAAGAUUUGCUUUAUAUUGCUUUUGGCACAAUUGCCGUAGAUAGGGAGACCAUAAUCAAUCUUAGAUAAAAUCAAAGCUCUUGCAAUAUUGAUGAGAGAAGAAAUGUGAAUUAAACAGUGUUUUGAUGAUAGAUACUUAAUCAUAUUAGGCCUAGAAACUAGUUACUUACGGAGAUUUGUACAAUCUUCCUUAAACAGAAUACUAAACCUAGGAAUUAAAGAGUAGUACAUAGUAUGUAUAUAUUUACAAUAUUUACAUUAAUAUAGCUUAGACUGAAGUUAUUACAUUUGUGUUUACUACAGAUAUGGAAUAAUUUGCAUUUGUUUAUAGAAAUAUUCGCACCUGAACAAUUGGACCAAUUUGAAAUAUCAGUAAGGAUUUUUAAGAUGGUAUUUUUUACAGUAUUUAAAUUAUUUUGUUUGGAGAAGAUUAGAACAUCAUCAGCAUAAAUAGUAUGCAAAAUGAGUUUAUAUUUAGAGAUUAUCGUACCGAUUUCGUCAAAUGCGAUUACAAAUAGUAUAACAAACAGUGGUGAUCCUUGCGGUAUUCUGUUGUACAUAUUGUACGUGUUCGAAAAGGUUUUAAUGAUUUUAGUCAAGAAUUUCCGAUUGAUUAGAGAAAGAUUUAAUAAAGUAAAAAUUUUCACCUAUUUGCCACUUCUCAAGCUGUCGUAGAUUAAAAUGAGAACUAACUCUGUUGAAAGGUUUUCGAAAUCCAAACUAAGAGUGGAUAUGUGGUUUCUUUUCGAUAAAACAGUUUUGGCGAAAUCAUCAAAAUAGAGUAAAGCAUCCAUUGUGCCUUGCCCUGCCUCAAAUGCCACUUGGUUUCGACUGAGAAGGUUUUUAUUUAAAGCGAACCACGAGAUAAUUUCGAGAUAAUUUUUUCUAAUAGUUUUCCCAUGUAACAGAGGAGUGAUAUUGGCCCAUAACCGAGAACAUCUGUAGACACUACAUUGGAUUUCGGAAUGGCUUUUAUCACCGCGUUUUUCCAACUUUGAGGGUGGACACCUUGACAUAAAAUAUUGUUGCACAAUUUAAUAAUUCUAUUUUUGAGACUUGAAGGACAAUGUUUUAGCAGGGGAUAUGAAAUUCUGUCUGCACCGGGCGUCUUACCUGACAUUGAAGAAAAGAUAAAACCGAAUUCAGCGAUGGUUAUGCCAGAUUCGGUAAUAAAGGGUGAUUUUUUAAGAGCUUGAUAACUUUUUUAAAAAAAAAAACGCAUAAAAUUUGCAAAAUCUCAUCGGUUCUUUAUUUGAAACGUUAGAUUGGUUCAUGACAUUUACUUUUUGAAGAUAAUUUCAUUUAAAUGUUGACCGCGGCUGCGUCUUAGGUGGUCCAUUCGGAAAGUCCAAUUUUGGGCAACUUUUUCGAGCAUUUCGGCCGGAAUAGCCCGAAUUUCUUCGGAAAUGUUGUCUUCCAAAGCUGGAAUAGUUGCUGGCUUAUUUCUGUAGACUUUAGACUUGACGUAGCCCCACAAAAAAUAGUCUAAAGGCGUUAAAUCGCAUGAUCUUGGUGGCCAACUUACGGGUCCAUUUCUUGAGAUGAAUUGUUGUCCGAAGUUUUCCCUCAAAAUGGCCAUAGAAUCGCGAGCUGUGUGGCAUGUAGCGCCAUCUUGUUGAAACCACAUGUCAACCAAGUUCAGUUCUUCCAUUUUUGGCAACAAAAAGUUUGUUAGCAUCGAACGAUAGCGAUCGCCAUUCACCGUAACGUUGCGUCCAACAGCAUCUUUGAAAAAAUACGGUCCAAUGAUUCCACCAGCGUACAAACCACACCAAACAGUGCAUUUUUCGGGAUGCAUGGGCAGUUCUUGAACGGCUUCUGGUUGCUCUUCACCCCAAAUGCGGCAAUUUUGCUUAUUUACGUAGCCAUUCAACCAGAAAUGAGCCUCAUCGCUGAACAAAACACGCGCGCGAAACACAUUUCGAACCGAACACUGAUUUUGGUAAUAAAAUUCAAUGAUUUGCAAGCGUUGCUCGUUAGUAAGUCUAUUCAUGAUGAAAGGUCAAAGCAUACUGAGCAUCUUUCUCUUUGACACCAUGUCUGAAAUCCCACGUGAUCUGUCAAAUACUAAUGCAUGAAAAUCCUAACCUCAAAAAAAUCACCCGUUAUAUGGGGGUGAAUGAUCUUUGCUGUAUCUUCUACUGAGAAGUUCAUUUUUAUUUGAUACAAAUGAGGCGUUGAAAUUUGAGUCGCUCGAAUACUCGGACUAUACAGAGGCGAAAUGAUUAGCUAUGUCUUUUGUAUCGAAAAUUGUGUCAAUUAGUGUGUUUGUACAUUUAAAAUUAACUUGCGUAUAGGAGCCUGAGAGCAUUUUUAUGUCCGCCCAUAAUUUCUUGGGAUUUGUUAAGACAGUUUCAGAUUGAGGCCAUGAUAAACUGUGCAAUACAUCUUAUAGAAGAUUCCAUUUGCAAAAACGACAUACCGAACGCAUGGACCAAGGCAGUAGAGCCAAACUAUUAAAAUACGGCUAAGCAACUCGUUUUUAGAUAUUCAACCAUUUUUUGUACAAAAUGGUUCUCAACACUUUAUUUGAAAAGUGAUUAUUGGCAGGUGGAGGUAAACGAAGAAGACAAUGAAAAUACGGGUUUCAGCGUUGGAGAUAGUCUAAAGCAAUUUACCGAAAGCUCUUUGAAUUAUGUAACACUUUUGCUACAUUUGAGAGACUUACGUACCAGGUAUUAAACGAAUUACACUGGAAGACCUGUUGUGUACAUAUAUUCUUAUUGGGUAAAAGUUUCAAUGAACUUUUGAAUACAAAGUGACAACGGGGGACAUUUGCAUAGCUAAUGAAAAGACAUUGGUCAACUCUUAAAAAUUUACUUUGGCUAUGUACUUAUUAUCGACAUAUUCAAAUUUUAAAUUUUGCCAGCGUAGCUACUUUGUAGUCUACAUGAACUCACGAAAAAACUACAGUAGUUUACCAAACUCUGAAGAAUCGCUUAAGUACUACUCCAAUAUUAGCCUAUUAUUUAGUAUUCGGAUGCUAGUGGGUAUGCAGUAAGAGGCGUUCUGUCACAAGGCAGAAAGUGGUGGCGGAUUACAGUAAGACAAUAAGCAAGCCAGGAAAAAUUAGUGUGUAACUCGGAGGGAAUUACUGGCGUUGGUGAAGUGAUUUAAUAAUUUUUAUAAGUACCUUUAUGGCCAGCGUUUUCAAGUCAGGAUAUAUCAUGAAGUUUUCAAAGAGCUUCUACAAUUCAAGAACGCAGAAGGAAAGAUGGCACGAUGGAUUGAAAGACUCCAAAGGAGUUUGGAAUGCAGACAUUGCUUAAAAGCUGAGGCCAAAGAGGACAUUAAAAAAGUUUGAUUAAUGACAUUAACUUCAGACUGGAACCAAAUGCAUCGAAAAAAUAAUUUCAAAGAUAAGUGACGACAAUAUUUUACAUACCAGUACUAGAUAUGACGACAGUCAUUUAACACCAUAACUGAUGAAACUAUAUUAUUAAAUAUCCUAAUGUGCGUAUGUAUUGGGGUGAUUACGGCAGUCCUCGUAUCAUUGCAGCUAUGACGCGAAACCGUCAUGAGAAGAUGCGAUAAUUUUGCACAUCAACAACUAUAACGAAAUGCUUCGUUGUCAUAAUACUGAGCAGCAGGAGGACGAGCAACCAACUAUACUCAACUCAAUUAUCGGAUGAACCCUUGUCAGCAAAUGUCGUAGAUCGCAAAAGAGAACGGCUUUGCGUUGAUGAACAAAUUUAUUCAACAAAAAAGAAAUUAUUUUUUUAUGCCAGCCAAAUUGUUCUUAAUGUGCGCUGAUUUAAGCUCUUGUUACAAUUUUGAAAUUUAAAUCGACCGAAGACUAUCCACUUGAAAACUUAACUUAGGGGCGUCAUCUAAGGUUCUAGUUCGUUUGGGACGCACUGUGCCACGUUUCGUCAAUUAUUGUAUUUUUUCAAGAACUACUACACCAGUCUCUCUUUAUUGGCUUAUUGGCGCACCCAAGGCUUCAACAUUAGCUGAUACUAUGUAGAAUGGAGCAGCGAAUUAAUAUAUCAUAUGCUUGAUAUGACAAUGGUUAAUUCGUGGAUCGUAUAUAAACGUCAUUAUUCCAUAACAGCGCAAACAAACCCUAUGAUGAAUAGGGUACGAAUCAGAUUUCUGCGAAACAAUCUCGCCUUGCUACUGCCGCGUGAUAUAAGGUUAGAUAAUACUAGACAUUAGGGUGGGUCGAUUCCGGAAUUUUUUCGAUUCGGUAUUUCUAAUAGUGUGGAAAAGUUGCCUUAGUACUUCCUGAUUCCAAUGCAACUUUUUGUUUUGAGAUCGGAUUGCAUCUUCAACCCGAACCUCGGCCUUGAAAUUUCGGAAAUUCGCCUAAAAUCGUGAAAUUGUCUACCUACCACCUGAAAUACGCAUCUCAUGGCAAAAUGUAUGAAACAAAAGUUAUUUGUCACGUUAUUUGCUACCGAAAUGGUAUAUGUGAUCAUGGCCGUAGGACGAACCGUUCCCGAGAUACGAGCGAAAAGGCGGCGCGCCACAGCGCAAGGUCAAAAUUGUUGCAGCUCUCAGCUAACCUGUAUUGGUCACCCAGAACCCACCGCGUGGAGGUAGCUGCUCUUCGGGUUCCUCCCAAGCCCAACCCAACCAACCAACCAUAUGUCAGGCUUGUUUUAGUCUGAAUCUGUGUCAAAUUUAUUGAUAAAAUCAGAUUUUGUACUAAACUUUGGCACUUGUUGCCUAGAUUUCAGUGUAGAGCGUAUAAAAAGAUCACGAGAUUGGGGGCCAAUAACUUUAGAAAAUGCCUCUGUCACCAGUUUGACGAUUCUCUCUACUGCCACAGUGUGAGAGGGGAAUUCACUAAAUUUCCAUACCUCUGCAGUGUCUCCCGACAGCCCUUUUAUGAGUUCUUCGUUAGAAACUGAACAAAGAACUGGUGGAACAGUCAAGGUAAUAGUCUUCCAGUUAAUCAUAUCUUAAUAAGUAUUAGCUUUGAAAUUCAGUUUUAGCACUUUAUUACAUCUAACUCUUCCAUUUAUGGUGUCAGACUCUGCUUCUCUGGCUGCCAGAAGACGGACAAGGGCCAACUUUCUGACUUCUAUCCGUUCGUCAGUCAUCAUACUAAGGAGAAUGUUUUCUGGAAGAGCAAAGAAAGCAUUCUGUUGAAUGGAUGAAUCGACAACCUUGCGCAGUUUAGCGGGUAAGUAUCUCGACCUUUGAAUUGCAGCAUAGAGAUGGCGCGAGCCAUCUUUGAUUGAACUGUUGAAUCUUAUUGAGAACCACAAAGGUGAGUAAACUGUAAGUAUGUACUUGACCAAAAUCUUUAUUUCCUUUGUUGGUUUGCAGUAGAAAUGUAUAAUCUCAGAAUUCUAUUUGCACAGGUGAGCCAGCGAGAUUUGCACAUGUUAACUGGAUGCAUCGACGCUAAAUCUGAGGAACAUUGACCGGAAAUAACAGCUUCUGAUAUUUUAUAGAGAUAAGCUUGGUCUGUGCUAAGUUGGGUCGGAUUAAUAACCUCAGAAGGUAAUUGGCAGGAUGGAAAACUUUCAAAUUUGACAACAGGCAACUUCUCACAAUAAGGGAGCAGUUUACCUAUGUCGCCAGAGAAUGUAUUUGGACUCUUUGAGACACCAUCUAUGUGUUUGAAAAGAGCACGAAAUGGAAGUUCGUUGAAAUGUAGAAGACAAACAACCCACUGUAAUGGCCUACCUAUUCUUUCUUCUAGUUUCCGAAUGAUUCCACCUUUCCAACCUGUGUUCGUGUUGGUGCCAUCAGCACCGACAACUUCUAGAUGUUCCACAUCAACUGAAUUGUCUUGUAAAUGUUGCCAUAUAGCUUGCGUCUCAUCCUCAGCUGACCCGGAAGGAGAAGUGACGUGGCCAACGUAAUGACAACCAGGUUCCGCUAUAAGAGAAAUAUGUUCCUCUUUGACAGUGUCGCGGUAGUACUUUUCACCUUCGCUGACGUGUGUAAGUGUAUUGUCUUUGCGGCCGUCAAAAUAUAGCCCAUAUACAGAGUCAAUACUUUCGGUGUUUUGGAGCUUAACACCAACACUUUUUUUUGCCCGACUAAUCUUGCAUUUGUCAGUGACAAAGCUAGCCUGAUCCCCUGUUAUCAAACCUGCUUUUUUGGCAUCCAGAAAAGCCGAUGAAACAAUCAAGGCCGCUGCUCUAUCACUUACUCCAAAUCUUUGGGCAGCUAAAGCAAAGUGUUGUAAUACUAGUGUGUUUUGUUUGGUUUUAGAGGAUGGAAGAGAAAAUUCAUCAUGCGACCAAUUCUUCUGGUUCUCUGGUCCAAGAGAAAUGGUUGUUCAUUGAUAGGAACUUUCCUUUCCUUUGGACAAGUGCAAGAAGAAAAAUAAAUGCAUUUACAAGCAGCGAUGUCAAAUAAUUUUCCGGCAGAAGAGACAAAGUCGUCUCUUUUAGAGCUCAAACCUAUUGGGUUCCUUAAAAACAUUUUUUUAAGAGUCAGAAAUUUCUUAUGGUAUGUGGUGAGCAUUUGUACAACUCUGGUGUGUGAAACUAUCGGAAUAGAUGACUUUUUGAAAGUAUUUUCAACCUUUUUUGCAACUAUUUCUGUAACCUCUUUACUCCUAGGUUCAUAGUUGUCGCCUCGGAGUCACCCUAUACCAAAUCUUUCAAACUGAUAACACAAAAGAACAUCCUGGUAAGUAGGUAACUGGGACUCAGAGAGAUUGUACGGAUAUAUGCCAAACACAGGACAUUUCUGUCUAUAUUUAAAUUUAGAUACAGACAUUUUGAGUUCUGUGUUUUGUUGAGAGAAUAACGGGUGAUUUUUUUGAGGUUAGGAUUUUCAUGCAUUAGUAUUUGACAGAUCACGUGGGAUUUCAGACAUGGUGUCAAAGAGAAAGAUGCUCAGUAUGCUUUGACAUUUCAUCAUGAAUAGACUUACUAACGAGCAACGCUUGCAAAUCAUUGAAUUUUAUUACCAAAAUCAGUGUUCGGUUCGAAAUGUGUUUCGCGCGCGUGUUUUGUUCAGCGAUGAGGCUCAUUUCUGGUUGAAUGGCUACGUAAAUAAGCAAAAUUGCCGCAUUUGGGGUGAAGAGCAACCAGAAGCCGUUCAAGAACUGCCCAUGCAUCCCGAAAAAUGCACUGUUUGGUGUGGUUUGUACGCUGGUGGAAUCAUUGGACCGUAUUUUUUCAAAGAUGCUGUUGGACGCAACGUUACGGUGAAUGGCGAUCGCUAUCGUUCGAUGCUAACAAACUUUUUGUUGCCAAAAAUGGAAGAACUGAACUUGGUUGACAUGUGGUUUCAACAAGAUGGCGCUACAUGCCACACAGCUCGCGAUUCUAUGGCCAUUUUGAGGGAAAACUUCGGACAACAAUUCAUCUCAAGAAAUGGACCCGUAAGUUGGCCACCAAGAUCAUGCGAUUUAACGCCUUUAGACUAUUUUUUGUGGGGCUACGUCAAGUCUAAAGUCUACAGAAAUAAGCCAGCAACUAUUCCAGCUUUGGAAGACAACAUUUCCGAAGAAAUUCGGGCUAUUCCGGCCGAAAUGCUCGAAAAAGUUGCCCAAAAUUGGACUUUCCGAAUGGACCACCUAAGACGCAGCCGCGGUCAACAUUUAAAUGAAAUUAUCUUCAAAAAGUAAAUGUCAUGAACCAAUCUAACGUUUCAAAUAAAGAACCGAUGAGAUUUUGCAAAUUUUAUGCGUUUUUUUUUUUUAAAAGUUAUCAAGCUCUUAAAAAAUCACCCUUUAUAAGUGAUAGCACCUGGCGAAAUCAACGACAAGAGUGAAGGAACUCGAUGAAAAAAUAUUUAUGUGGAGACCUAUCCGAACGUGUCCUUUGGCGUAGGUGAAUGAAUGUGAGUGAUAGCACUCGGCGAAAUCAACGUCAAGAAGUGUGGCCGCACGCCGAUUUUCACCUUGCACUGUGGCGCGCCGCCUUUUCGCUCGUAUCUCGGGAACGGUUCGUCCUACGGCCAUGAUCACAUAUACCAUUUCGCAAAUGACGUGACAAAUAACUUUUGUUUUAUACAUUUUGCCAUGAGAUGCGUAUUUCAGGUGCUAGGUAGACAAUUUCACGAUUUUAGGCGAAUUUCCGAAAUUUCAAGGCCGAGGUUCGGGUUGAAGAUGCAAUCCGAUCUCAAAACAAAAAGUUGCAUUGGAAUCAGGAAGUACUAAGGCAACUUUUCCGCACUAUUAGAAAUACCGAAUCGAAAAAAUUCCGGAAUCGACCCACCCUACUGGACAUUUCCCUAUGUUUAUAAAUGAUGGAACACCAAGAUGCAAACAUCCUAAUUGUUCAUGACGUACUCAAAUUUAUUCCGUUAAAUGUGAUACACCCAACUCUUUUCUACACUGUAGAUACGUCCCUCAGAAAUCCGUCUAAAAAGAAACCGUGUAACAAAAAAAGGUGUUUCCUAUAGUAAAAUGGGGAAAAAUGUAAAAUGAAAUAUAGAAUUAUAUUUACUUCGAAAAACUGUAUAAAAAAUGUUGAAAACUAUAUGAUUUCAGAUAUGCAUACAAAUUGAGCAUUAAAACUUACAUAAUUCAUACCGGCGAAAAGUUGGUACAGCAAUCAUAAAACAAAAGAAAUCUGCUAAUCCAGUAUUAAGAACAGAAAAAUUAGAAUAGAAAUAAAGAAAAAAUAUUUGCAUAGCUACAGAAUUAUUCGUCGCUACUUGGUAACAAGCACAAUUGUUUGCGACGAACUGUACUAAAGUCGGUAUCAUCACUGGAGAUAUCCACUUCAGCAAUAUCGAAUAAGGAUAUUUCCCAGUUACUACUAUGUUUGCUCAUUUCAGCAAUGGUGCCAAGUGUGGUAAAAACAAACAUACAUAAUUACAAGACAGUGAUUUGAAACCGUACUAGAUUAAAACUUUUUUACGAACUAUUUAUUUGGGUGCCCAGCUAAUUGAGAAUUACACCACUGUAUUUUUUAGCGGAAAUAAGUGUUACUUUAUUUGUAAUAUGAAUUCCGGUUACAACAAAUCGAAACUUAUUCUAAUAGGGAAAUAAAUGCGGGGUCGAUGUACAACGAAGCGAUGUCGAAAUAGUUCAGCAUCACGGCCUGUCCAAAGUUACGUAGAAACGUUUGAGCCCUGCCGCGCAAAAAGGGUAUAACUUAUGAGCUUAGGUCCACGGACGAAUCGAAAGUUUCAGCACGGGUGUGUGUAACGAAGUGUGUCGAACGAAUUGUGACCCCUUUCACUUUUUGUCCAUUCCUUUUGAUGAGUUUGUUGGUGUAUAAUCAUGGUGAGUUGUGUUGUGGUGUUCUCAGCGGUGGUGAACUAAGCUGUCUUAUUAGGAUGCCCUAGUUUUUCCCGGAUAAAGUGGGUGGAUGCUUAACUCAUUUAAACGCAAACACAUUUUUUUAAUCGUUUUUAAAGUUAAAUCCGUGUAAAAAACGAGUUGGGUAUACAUAUGUAUCUCUUUGUUUAUCGACACAACAAAAUUGUUUUCUGGAUUUCCAUACGAGCUGAUGUGUUUUUUAUUAGUUUAAUAAUAGUUUUAAUAAAAUUUCAAUAAAAUACGGAUUUUUGUAAAAAAAUGUACUUAAAAUUUAUUUCGCUAAUGACCACCUAGUGGUGAACCAACCAAUAAAUCACCCUGUAAAAUCUAAAAGAAUUUUGGAGAAAAUUCGUAGAACAAAUGUUGUUUGUAACCGACAAUUAUAAUAAAUAUCAAAAUUUUCAAUGAAUCGGAGUUAUCAGGCUUUUAAGGAUUAAAACAAUGAUUUUAUUGGGUUGGUUAUCGGCAAUCAAUUACGAAAUGGAUCGGCAAUUAUGCUGAGUGAACUGCAGUGAAAAGACAAGGUCAACGAUUCAUCGUCAAAUGAAGCAGUACAAUUUGGGUGUGCCCUAUUUGCGUAUUGCCAUGGGCGCAGCUGGUCCAUUUCCUGCCAGUAAUUCGGAAGCAAAAAUGUUUUAGUAUUCAUGGACUAUUGCAGCAAAUGGCUAGAGUUAUACGAAUACGCAUACGUAAGUAUAUACAUUAGCUUACAGCUUAUUUCAUGCAGAUCAGUUUAUAUUGCUACAAAAUGGAAAAUAAUAAUACAGUGAAAGCUCGCUAAUCCGAACGGUGUGUAAUCCGAAUUAUCCAGUAAUCCGAAUUGAAUAAAGUACGCGUUGCAUACUCUAUAGUCCGCAUUGAUUGCCGCUCUCUAAUCCGAAUUUUAAUUUUUCUAUCCUUUUGUAGCGUAGGUGCACAUAUUUGUUUUGACAUACAUAUGUAAGUGCAAACAACGUAGAAAGCCUGUUUCAACGUGUUCUCGAAGUGUGAAUGGAAUUUUACAACUAACGGAACAUCAUUUGAUAUGCAUACACAUGUAUGUAUGUACAAAUGAAUGCAUCUUCAAUGAUUUAUUUUGUUAUUAUUUUAGUUCUGGAAUAGCAUUACACGCGACGACAUCAAUUUAAAUUACAAUAUGGCAAAAAGGCGUGCACAUAAAACAUUAUCACUAGCUGAUAAGAUUAAAAUAAUACAAGAGAUAGACCGCGGACAAUCUGGAAAACUUUUAGCAGAUAAAUAUGGUGUAGGAACUUCUACAAUUUGUGACAUAAAAAAAAAUUCCGAAAAUAUUAGGAGGUAUAGAAUCCGUAUUAUGUACUAAAGUAUCUUACAAAAAAGAGUUAAUUGUAUACAUACCUAUUUUAUAAGAUUUGCUGAGAAUUCUGAUGAAAAACUUUUGAAGCAGCGCAAGACACUCAAAACGGGUGAGUACGAAGAGUUUGAACAAAAAUUACAUGCUUGGUUUGAAGAGAAGCGGUCACGACAUCAAACCAUUUCAGCGGGAGUUUUACGACAAAAGGCAAAAUCACUAUCAGAAAAUGUAUAACAAUGAAUCGUUUAAAGCUAGCGAUGGAUGGUUUCAAAAGUUUAAGAAACGAUUUUCUGUGCGAAACUUAAAAAUAUGCGGAGAAUCUUUAUCUGCUAGACCAGAUCUUGUUCCUGCUUUUCAAAAUGAGCUCUACAAUGUAAUUGAAGCUGAAAAUUUGUUGGACGACCAAAUUUAUAAUGCUGAUGAGUCUAGACUUUUUUUGAAAAUGUUUCCAGACAAACCUUUAGUGCAUUUUAAAGAAAAAUCAGCUCCAGGCACCAAAAUUAGCAAAGAGAGAAUCACCUUCUUAUGUUGUGCUAAUAAAACUGGAAGUCACAAGCUACAGAUUGCAGUGGUUGGUAAAUCAAAAAACCCUCGGUCAUUUAAAAAACAAAGGGUGAUUGAAUAUUAGGGUGGGUUGAUUCCGGACUUUUUUUGAUUCGGGAUUUCUAAUAGUGCGGAAAAGUUGCCUUAGAACUUCCUGAUUCCAAUGCGACUUUUUGUUUUGAGAUCGGAUUGCAUCUUCAACCCAACUCCUGCCUUGAAAUUUCGGAAAUUCGCCUAUAAUCGUGAAAUUGUCUACCUAGCGCCUGAAAUACGCAUCACCCGCAAAGGGAAAAUCGGCUUGCGACCACACUUCUUGAAGGACACGUUCGGAUAGGUCUCCACACAAAUAUUUUCUCAUCGAGUUCCUUCACUCUUGCCGGUGAUUUCGCCGAGUUCUAUCACUUACAUUCAUUUCCCUGCGUCAAUCGAUACGUUCGGACUGGUCUCCACAUAAAUAUUUUUUCAUCGAGUUCCUUCACUCUUGUCGUUGAUUUCGCCGAGUGCUAUCACUUAUAUUCUCUCAACAGAACACAGAACUCAAAAUGUCGGUAUCUAAAUUAAAAUUUAGACAGAAAUGUCCUGUGUUUGGGAUAUAUCCGUACAAUCUCUCUGAGUCCCAGUUACCUACUUACCAGGAUGUUCUUUUGUGUUAUCCGUUUGAAAGAUUUCGUAUAGGGUGACUCCGAGGCGACAACUAUGAACCUAGGAGUAAAGAGGUUACAGAAAUAGUUGCAAAAAAGGUUGAAAAUACUUUCAAAAAGUCAUCUAUUCCGAUAGUUUCACACACCAGAGUUGUACAAAUGCUCACCACAUCCUAUAAGAAAUUUCUGACUCUUAAACAAAUAAUUUUAAGGAAUCCAAUAGGUUUGAGCUCUAAAAGAGACGACUUUGUCUCUUCUGCCGGAAAAUUAUUUGACAUCGCUGCUUGUAAAUGCAUUUAUUUUUCUUCUUGCACUUGUCCAAAGGAAAGGAAAGUUCCUAUCAACGAACAACCACUUCUCUUGGACCAGAGAACCAGAAGAAUUGGUCGCAUUGGAAGUGUUGAUCUACCUGAAACAAAAAAGAUUACAAAGAAAAAUGAACGUAAAGAAAAGUUUUAAAAAUGUCAUUCAACAUCAACACUUACCAGAAAAGUAUCAGCUAGAACACGUGACCAUUCAGAUCAGCCAGACUCUCAUUCAGACGACAACAAUGUAGUAGGUGCGCGCACAUGGAUUCUUCCAGAAACGAUGCUGAUGAUGAAUUUUCUCUUCCAUCCUCUAAAAACAAACAAAACACACUACUAUUAGAACACACUGCUUUUGCUGCCCAAAGAUUUGGAGUAAGUGAUAGAGCAGCCUUGAUUGUUUCAUCUACUUUUCUGGAUGCCAAAAAAGCAGGUUUGAUAACAGAGGAUCAGGCUAGCUUUGUCACUGACAAAUGCAAGAUUAGUCGGGCAAAAAAAAGUGUUGGAGUUAAGCUCCAAAACACCGAAAGUAUUGACUCUGUAUAUGGGCUGUAUUUUGACGGCCGCAAAGACAAUACACUUACACAAGUCAGCGAAGGUGAAAAGUACUACCGCGACACUGUCAAAGAGGAACAUAUGUAUUUCUCUUAUAGAGGAACCUGGUUGUCAUUACUUUGGCCACGUCACCUCUCCUUCUGGGUCAGCUGAGGAUGAGACGCAAGCUAUAUGGCAACAUUUACAAGACAAUUCAGUUGAUGUGGAACAUCUAGAAGUUGUUGUUGCUGAUGGCACCAACACGAACACUGGUUGGAAAGGUGGAAUCAUUCGGAAACUAGAAGAAAGAAUAGGUAGGCCAUUGCAGUGGGUUGUUUGUCUUCUACAUUUCAACGAACUUCCAUUUCGUGCUCUUUUCAAACACAUAGAUGGUGUCUCAAAGAGUCCAAAUACAUUCUCUUGCGACAUAGGUAACUGAUUGUGAGAAGUUGCCUGUUGUCAAAUUUGAAAGUUUUCCAUCCUGCCAAUUACCUUCUGAGGUUAUUAAUCCGACCCAACUUAGCACAGACCAAGCUUAUCUCUAUAAAAUAUCAGAAGCUGUUAUUUCCGGUCAAUGUUCCUCAGAUUUAGCGUCGAUGCAUCCAGGUAACAUGUGCAAAUCUCGCUGGCUCACCUGUGCAAAUAGAAUUCUGAGAUUAUACAUUUCUACUGACAAACCAACAAAGGAAAUAAAGAUUUUGGUCAAGUACAUACUUACAGUUUACUCACCUUUGUGGUUCUCAAUAAGAUUCAACAGUUCAAUCAAAGAUGGCUCGCGCCAUCUCUAUGCUGCAAUUCAAAGGUCGAGAUACUUACCUGCUAAACUGCGGAAGGUUGUCGAUUCAUCCAUUCAACAGAAUGCUUUCCUUGCUCUUCCAGAAAACAUUCUCCUUAGUAUGAUGACUGACGAACGGAUAGAAGUCAGAAAGUUGGCCCUUGACCGUCUUCUGGCUGCCAGAGAAGCAGAGUCUGACACUGUAAAUGGAAGGGUUAGAUGUAAUAAAGUUCCAAAGCUGAAUUUCAAAGCUAAUAAUUAUUACGAUAUGAUUAACUGGAAGACUAUUACCUUGACUGUUUCACCAGGUAUUUGUUCAGUUUCUAACGAAGAACUCAUAAAAGGGCUGUCGGGAGACACUGCAGAGGUAUGGAAUUUUAGCUCUCACACCGUAGCAGUCGAGAGAACCGUCAAACUGGUGACAGAGGCAUCUUCUAAAGUUAUUGGCCCAAAAUCUUGUGAUCGUUUUAUACGCUCUACACUGAAAUCUAGGCAACAAGUGCCAAAGUUUAGUACAAAAUCUGAUUUUAUCAAUAAAUUUGACACAGAUUCAGACUAAAACAAGCCUGACAUAUGGUUGGUUGGUUGGGUUGGGCUUGGGAGGAACUCGAAGAACAGCCACCUCCACGCGGUAGGUUCUGGGUGACAAAUACAGGUUAGCUGAGAGCUGCAACAAUUUUCACCUUGCGCUGUGGCGCGCCGCCUUUUCGCUCGUAUCUCGGGAACGGUUCGUCCUACGGCCAUAAUCACAUAUACCAUUUCGGUAGCAAAUGAGGUGACAAGGUUUUGUUCUAUACAUUUUGCCAUGAGAUGCGUAUUUCAGGCGCUAGGUAGACAAUUUCACGAUUUUAGGCGAAUUUCCGAAAUUUCAAGGCCGGAGUUGGGGUUGAAGAUGCAAUCCGAUCUCAAAACAAAAAGUUGCAUUGGAAUCAGGAAGUACUAAGGCAACUUUUCCGCACUAUUAGAAAUCCUGAAUCGAAAAAAGUCCGGAAUCUACCCACCCUAUUGAAUGUUAUUCAUCAAAAAAUUCAUGGAUGACAACAUACAUUUUUACAGAAUGGUUUUUCGAAUCGUUUAUACCACAGGUAAAAAACUAUCAGACUGAAAAUAAUUUGCCGAAAAAAGGUCUAUUGAUAUUGGAUAAUGCAAUAUGUCAUGGGGAGCCGUUGGCAUCUGAAUGUGGACAAUAUAAAACUACUAGCUGACCCGGCGAACUUCGCCACCACGCCUACCACAAAUAAUAUAAACUUCAAACAACGCAUUUUCAUUUAAUGUUUUUAAUGUUUGUAGCGCCAUCUACUGUAACAUACCGCACUUACUCAAUACCGCUGUUAGCGCCACCAAUUGGUGGAUAGCUCUUUGCUAAUAAUAAACAAAUAAUUUGCAAUAAAUAAAUAAUGCGACUAUAAGGAGAGUUAUAAACUAUCCUAUCUUUCAAGUUGGACCAAACUGCACACAGUGUUAAAAAUUUCAUUAAAAUCGGUUCAGUAGUUUUGGAGUCCAUCGCAAACAAACAACGUGACACGUGAUUUUUAUAUAUUAAGAUAUAUAAAAAUGAAUCGCAAAAUGUGUUGGUAAGCGCAUAACUCAACAACGCCUGCACCAAUCUGUUCCAUUCUUUUUUCUAAAUGUUCGUUGAGGUUCAAGGAUGGUUUUUACGGUAAAUUUCGGAUAAUUGCCGGAAAACCCCUAAAAACACCCCUUUUCUUUUUCCCAUACAAACGAAUGAAUGUUUGUUGGUUAGUAACGCUAAGAGAACGGCUGCACCAUUAUUGAUGAAAUUUUCAGAGGUUGUGCUCUGUAGAUUGGGGAAGGUUUGAAAAAAAAACCGUAUGUUUUUCGUGAGGAAAAGUCGGAAAAUCGGACAAUUCCAAAAUGUAACUUUUUUUCAUACACUUUUUUUUCCAUUUUUGGUUGUUUUGUUUUUCUAUUAUUUGAAUCGUUCAAAUUUGUCGUUUGCUUCAAAAAUGUUUGAAAAUUAUUCAGUGCACACAAAGUGAUCAAUUACAGAUUGAAAUUUGUUAGGAUGCCACCAAGUGGUCGCGCAAAUAUCGGUCGGCGUUCUUUUUGGCAUCAACAUACAUUAGCAGCCCAUGACCGACUACUCCCAGGAUGCGAUGACAUACGUGCGGUAUUAUGGAUCGCGGUCAAUCAGCAAGCGAUCGUCACGAUGUCACAGCACGACUUUUCAUGCAACAGCUUCGAUGGACUUUAUCUUGAAGCAACGUAUACUACAUAUAUGGUGCUGUUAGAUGCCAGAUGUACUCUGUUGAGUGGCAAAGAGAGGUUUGCCGCACGCACACAUUCUUCUUUGGAUGGUGGAUGGUGGUUACACCAGAUCAAAUUGAUGAAAUCAUUCAGUCAUGCGGAAAUUCCUUAUGCAGAGAAAGAUCCAGUAUUAAACGAAGUGAUGAAAACCAAUAUGGUUCAUGGACCUUGCGGCCACCGCAAUCCCACUUCGGUUUGUAUAUCUGACAAUAAAUGUACGAAACAUUAUCCCGUUGCUUUUCUUUCGAAACCGUAAACUGGAAAUGAUGGAUAUCUACUCUUUCGGCGUCGCUCACCAAACGACAAUGGCAGAACUUUCAGUAUUCAAUUUAGAAGAGUGAAUAUCGAUGUUGACAACACAUGGAUCGUACUAUAUUCACCGUUAUUGUCUAAUUCACAUUCAAAAGUCAUAUCAAUGCUGAGUAUUGCAGUUUGGUGUAAUCGAUAAAAUACGUUUGUAAGUGCGUCACCAAAGGAAGCAACAUGGCAGUUUUUGGUCUUGAACGAUACGGUCGAUGAACUGCACUAAAGCGCUUUGUAGGAUAUUUUUUUUCUAAUUCAUGAACGUUUUCCGUCUGUCUCGCAGUUAAUUUGGAGAAUGGCCAAGGAGUGUAUUUCAACCCAGAGUAUACAGUACCGCCAGUGGAAACACCGCCAGCAACAAAAUUAACAUUUACGAGUUUUUGCUCAACUGUCGUCAGAGAUCCGUUUGCGAGGACAUUCGAAAAUACCUCGAUAUUAUAUAUGGAAUGCGUGGUCGAAGAAAUAAUUAGACAGAAAGCAAGGCCAAACAGUAGAUAGACAUCCAGGCGUGUUAUCAACUAAUGCAUUAGGACGAAUUUACACAAUCCACCAGAAAAACGACGAUUGUUUCUACCUUAGGUUGCUAUUGAUAAAUGUACGCGGUUCAACUUCAUUUGAGUCAUUGCGUACUGUGGAAGCAAGGCAGCAAGGCAGCAAUUACAAUUGCUGGAAAAUGAUAAUCACUGGAAUGCAAAUGAAGUUCGCACACUUUUCGCGAUAAUCAUUUUGACAUAUCAGCCUUCAAAUCCGAAUCUAUUAUGCGAUACGAACAAAAAUAAAAUUGUCGAUCAAUUCCAUCUGCCGUUUAUCGAUUCACGAAAGAUGAACUCAUCACGAAUGUUUAUCCGAACAUUGGCCAAAUUAUCUUAACUACGAAUUCUUGAGUGUACGUGCAAUGACUGCUGCCAAAAAUACAGAUGUUGGUGACUUAAACUAGAAGAUUCAAAGUCAAAUUCCGGGAGACUUGCGCUCAUACAAAUCGAUCGAUUGUCUUGACAAUGAAGACGACGCCGUGAAUUAUCCAGUGGAAUUUCUAAAUUCUUUGGAAAGGCUUGGUAUGCCACCGCAUCAUUUGCGUCUCAAAGUUGGAUUUAUCGUUAUUAUGUUUCGCAAUCUUCGUGCGCCGAAACUGUGUAAUGGAACCCGACUGAUAGUGACGCAGUUAUCGAAUACAAGGGGGCAGAAUACUUGAUUCUAUGAAUUCCUUUGAGUUCCAACGUAGUUCAAACGUAUUCCGUUUCCAGUGAAAAUUGCAUUUGAGGUGACGAACAGGAUACAAGGAUAGUCGCAUAGUAUGUGGCAUAAAUUUGGAAAUGCUAUGUUUUUCACACGGCCAGAUAUACGUGGCCUGCUCACGAGUUGAAAAACUAUCUUCUCUGUAAAUUUACGCACCGGAACAGAAGCCAAAAAAUGUUGUUUAUCAAGCGUUACAUUGAAAAAAAAUGAUAAAUUUAACAUUAUUUCCGUGUGUAACGGUACUAGGCAUUUCUAUUCCUUAAAGCUGUCUUUCAGUAAUAAUUCGAAAGCAAUUUUAUUGUGUUUUUGAGUGUCAAGUUACAUAUAAGUGCACUUAUGGAAAUGGAAAAUCACAGCGAAAAAUUGCUGAGAUAGGAAAUUUAAGUAGUGCGUAUAUGAAAGUCAUAUUCAAAAUAAAGACCGAAAUUAGGGGAUAAUACUUCUCUUAUAAUGGUAUAUCUGUAUGGCAGAAUGGGUUGAAUCGGACAAAUACUUCACUUAAAAAUUGUAAAUAAAUGUUUUUAACUCAACACAUAAACUGUGGAGCGUGUGUAAUUUAUUCAAUUUAGGGCCGAAUUUAUAGUGAUUAUUUAACCCAGGGAUGGGCAUAUUAGCCCUCAGUGGCAUUUUGCCCGUGCGGGCACGAGUGCACAUUUUGAGGGCUAGGUGAGGGGAUCAUCGCGGGCAAACAUGAAGAGGGAAGUGAGCGCAACGUAUUUUACCACUACAUAUUUACAAAUGAGAGCAACGUAUUUUCUCACACCAUGUUUACAAAUGAGAGCGCACGCCUAUAUGGGAAGUUGCACUGUGGGUAAUAAUUAUAAAUUUGCCUAAUAAUUUUAAAUUUCUUUGGAACUAUUAUAAAUUUAUAAAAUGUAAGACAAAUAACAAAAAGUAUAAUAAAUAUUUGAUUUUAGUAAACAUUUUUUUUUUAAUAUGUCUUUAUAUCAGCAUUUAAUUUUGUUUAUUUGAAAUAAUAAAUUAUAUGUUUAGUUUAAUCUCAUUUGCUAUAGCUACACGCAUUAUUGUACCAAAAUUUAAAUCAGAUAACCUACUUCUUAUUUUAGAUAUAAUUUUCGAAGCAAAAAGUUUCAAGCCAGGUUAUUUCUUUAAACUUCCUUAUAAAAAGUAAUUUUAAUUAAUAACUUCAAUUUAUGAACCACUGUUUCUUCAAACACAUAUGACCAAAUGAAUCUUAUGAGAGCGCAAUGUAAAUAAUUACCCAACAACCCUUCUACCUCCCGCCAAUCGUAGAAUUUCCAUCGACAUUAGGUUUUCCGCAGGGUUGCCAGGCUCGAUAUACUGUAGUAAUUAUAAAAAUUGUCUUCAAUAUAUUUGAAAUUUUCUUAAAAUAACUCAAAUUCAGAAUCGAUUGCUAUUUUUUACAAAUAUAUAAACUAAUUUUAAUAGUUUGAUUUCAGUUUUGAUAUUUUUUAUUAUGAAAAAUUAUAAUUGAAAACUUAGAUGUGUACAAAACUACAUUUGCGUAUUGAAUAAUGGCAACAUUAUUCGAAUGAAAACGAGAAGAAAACGCUUGCCGCUCUUAGCGAAAUGAGAAGAUGUUUAUGCCAUUAGCGUUUGUAUUCUAUUUGUGUGUUUAGCCACUCUCAAUCAUAUAUUUUUAUUAUAUACCGCGCAAAUAUAUUUUUAUUUGAUGAUUUCUUAUAUUUUUGAAAAUAUGUGUUCCCUUUAUAUAUCGCGAUUUAUUAUUUUAAUACAUUUCCAAAGGCAAAUUAGAUUUUUAAAAUUUAACAAAACAAUUAUAGAAAAAAACCUCAAUUCGUUGAAUAUUUUGGUAAAACAACCAAACUGAAAAUAUCACAAAUCAUAUAUAUAUAUAAAGGGUGAUUUUUUAAGAGCUUGAUAACUUUUUUUUAAAAAAA